rnacentral:misc_RNA from 1 species
GUGAAUUUGUAGCCUCCAAGGCUCACAUUCUCUAUCCUUUACACACCUGUGCACCCUUCUGAAGCGGAGAGUUAUUAGGCAUUAGCCGAGCGCCUCCCUUCGGUUAUUAUAUCAAACUCAAACUACGUUUACUAGAAUGUAUACCGUCUUGUUGUAACGACAAGUACAAUCCAAUA